UACAGAGGGUGCGAGCGUUGUUCGGAAUUACUGGGCGUAAAGCGCACGUAGGCGGCUAUUCAAGUCAGAGGUGAAAGCCCGGGGCUCAACCCCGGAACUGCCUUUGAAACUAGAUAGCUUGAAUCACGGAGAGGUGGGUGGAAUUCCGAGUGUAGAGGUGAAAUUCGUAGAUAUUCGGAAGAACACCAGUGGCGAAGGCGGCCCACUGGACGUGUAUUGACGCUGAGGUGCGAAAGCGUGGGGGAGCAAACAGG
rnacentral:rRNA from 1 species